GUGUGUUAUUGUUUAACUCAGUCGCCCCUAGCAACACUGCAGUGUUCUGAUAACAUUGACGCUGCUACCACCCUGAAGUCAUCCGCUUCGAGGAUCUAGAGCAAGUCUUGAAGCUCGAAUGUGCCUGAGAUAUGAAGGUGGUGAUGGGACCACUGGUGGACCGAUGAUUGGAGUCAUACCCUGCCGAGCAGAAGGUGGUGGGAGAUGUUCCAGAUGUGCUACUUGAGUUACCAAGAUGAGCGUGUGGAGAGGUGCGGGCUGGGCGAAACAGAGCAAUGGUGAAUUAUCUAUUUAUGAUGUAGCAGCAUGUGUGGAGGCCAACCAACGCCACACUGCAGAGUAACGGAAGAGGCUGUGACCUGCAGGCGAGUGUGAUAUGUUCAUUUCAACACAUCUUCCUAAAAGAAUUUAGUUACGUAGUCCAUAAAACUGAAAUCCAAGUAAUAGUAAAUAUCAUUCUGCAGGUGGAGUGGCGCUUGGUUUCAUAACCCAGUGCAUGUCCCAUUUCAAAACUGGCCCAUGAGGCACCUGCUUCCCAAGCUGUCUCGUUUUUAGAACAGUGCAUGGCCGUGUAUUUGAGAUAUUAAUGGUGAUAAGGAAUGUUUAUCGUAUAUGAAUGUUCAGAAUGCUGAAUAGAAUAUAGUUUCGCAGUUGACACGCUUGACUACCCUAGAGGUGGAUGACGUUGGUACCAUCCUGUGUGGUUACUCUAGGGACAACCUCCAGCUGUUGAAGGAUCAAGUUUCACUCUUCCAUACAAGCCGAGUGGAGAGAUAAGCAUCAUGGUUGAUUGGUACAGCGAAUCCGAGCGUGGAACAGCGCGUGGCAAAAUCACCAGUGGAUUUUGAACUGUGGCUGUGCUUCCGUAGUAGGUGGACGAAAGAUUAAAGACGAGGAUCACGCGACCACACCGUGAGUAAGGGAAACAUCGCCAGAGAGUUGUGCCCUCACCUUAUCUUCAUUUGACAUUCACCAGAAACAAGGGGUUCUUGAAUGAAGAAAGUGUUCUUCCAUCUUCAGUCAUCUACAUGAAAAAGAUUUGAAAAUCCAUGCAGUGACCGUGGGAUCACUGCAGUGGUUGCCGUGCCAUACUUGCAGUUAAGCUGCUGUAUGUAAUAAACUGUAGUUUCAUAAUGAGUGUGAUCACUUG
rnacentral:lncRNA from 1 species